UACGUAGGGGGCAAGCGUUGUCCGGAAUCAUUGGGCGUAAAGCGCGUGUAGGCGGCUCGAUAAGUCUGCUGUGAAAGUCCAGGGCUCAACCCUGGGAUGCCGGUGGAUACUGUCGGGCUCGAGUCCGGAAGAGGCGAGUGGAAUUCCUGGUGUAGCGGUGAAAUGCGCAGAUAUCAGGAGGAACACCAAUGGCGAAGGCAGCUCGCUGGGACGGUACUGACGCUGAGGCGCGAAAGCGUGGGGAGCAAACAGG
rnacentral:rRNA from 1 species